rnacentral:lncRNA from 1 species
CUUAUUAAAGCAUUGGGGGUCCGCGAAGGGUGGUGAGCUAAGAAGCAUGGAUACGCCAAUUUAGUGGCGUAUCCCGUAUCGGAUACUCGUUUGGAUACGAUACGCUUCGGAUACGGUUCGAUACGCAUUGGAUACGUAUCGCAGUCAACGGAUACGUUAGUUGACUAACGGAUACGAGUAUCUGACUUUUUGGAUACGAACCUCCGGCCGAAGUUUGCCGUUGAGGAGCCCCUGGCGCUGCAUGUGAAGAGGUAGGGGGAAGAAGAAGAAGAAGAUGUCAGACUGGAGGGAGGGAGAGAGGGAGGGAGAGAGAGAAGAAGAAGAAAAAGAUGUCAGACUGGAGGGGGAGAGAGAGGGACAAAGACAGAGAGACAGAGAGCGAGAGAAGAAGAAGAUGUUAGACUGACAUAAUUGUUAUUAUCUCAAGUGACGACGUCGUUUGCUAAAACAAGAUUUGUAAUAUAUGUUUCCUUUUACAUAGAUCUGUUUAUGGGUUUGGGUCUUAAGCAAUAGCAUUAAAAUGGGCUUUGGGUAAUGAUAUAUUUGGGUGAAAAAAGCUAUACAUGCCUAAAAAUAUAUAGAAUUAGAAAAGAAAGUCCAAAAUACUACACUAUAUUUAUAAUUUAUAAUUUAUAAUUUAUUUAAAAUAUAUUUUAGGUUAUAUAUAUUUAUUAAUAUAUAUUUAUAAUAACCGUAUCCAUGACAUAUCGUAUCCAAAUUUUUGGAAAUUUACCGUAUCCCCGUGUCGUGUCGUAUCGUAUCGCCGUAUCCGUAUCCGUGUCCGUGCUUCUUAGGUGGUGAGUCUUUUUUUUUAUUUUUUUUAAAUUUUAUCAGAAGAGUCUUUUAAUUGGUAUGGGCCCCAGCUGGUCCGUUUCUGUCUUGUUUCAACUCAUUCACACUUGCUUCUGUCUGACCAAGACUUUAAGAUAAUCUUCUAGUUCUGAGACCCCGUCAAGCAUUAUUUUACUAUUGCUACGGUACAGAGGUUUUACCAUGGUGGCGCCUUUGACUUGAUCUGUUCGUUGCUCGAUCUUUGUAUGUAACGGGCACAGCCCAAAACAAAGUCAAACAACUUCAAGACUUACACCGAAUUCUUUU